rnacentral:rRNA from 1 species
CGUGUGUGUCAGUGUCUUC